rnacentral:rRNA from 1 species
UGGGGAAUAUUGGACAAUGGGGGGAACCCUGAUCCAGCGACGCCGCGUGAGUGAAGAAGUAUUUCGGUAUGUAAAGCUCUAUCAGCAGGGAAGAAAAUGACGGUACCUGACUAAGAAGCCCCGGCUAACUACGUGCCAGCAGCCGCGGUAAUACGUAGGGGGCAAGCGUUAUCCGGAUUUACUGGGUGUAAAGGGAGCGCAGACGGUUUUGCAAGUCUGAAGUGAAAGCCCGAGGCUUAACCUCGGAGUUGCUUUGGAAACUGUUUAACUUGAGUGCAGAAGGGGAGAGUGGAAUUCCAUGUGUAGCGGUGAAAUGCGUAGAUAUAUGGAGGAACACCGGUGGCGAAAGCGGCUCUCUGGUCUGUAACUGACGCUGAGGCUCGAAAGCGUGGGGAGCGAACAGG